UCCACGGAGAGUUUGAUCCUGGCUCAGGAUGAACGCUGGCGGCGCGCCUAACACAUGCAAGUCGAACGAGUAAGACGCCUUCGGGCGUGGAUAGAGUGGCGAACGGGUGAGUAACACGUGACCAACCUGCCCCCUCCUCCGGGACAACCUCGGGAAACCGAGGCUAAUACCGGAUACUCCGGGCCCCCCGCAUGGGGAGCCCGGGAAAGCCCUGGCGGGAGGGGAUGGGGUCGCGGCCCAUCAGGUAGACGGCGGGGUAACGGCCCACCGUGCCUACUACGGGUAGCCGGGCUGAGAGGCCGAUCGGCCACAUUGGGACUGAGACACGGCCCAGACUCCUACGGGAGGCAGCAG
rnacentral:rRNA from 1 species